rnacentral:tRNA from 3 species
GGCCCCGUCGUCCAGUGGCCUAGGACGCUGCCCUCUCAAGGCGGAAACGCCGGUUCGAAUCCGGUCGGGGCUG